rnacentral:rRNA from 1 species
AUGGCUAGCUCCAGCGCCGCCGCCGCCACCGCUUUCCCUCUCAUUCCCAUCGCUGACAAGCUUCACCGGGGCAAUUACCUGGUGUGGCGCGCACAAGCCCUAGCCACCGUCCGAGGAGCGCAGCUGAUCGACCACCUCAACCCCGAUCAUCCGUUCCCAGAACCCAAGCUUGCUGGCAAGGAUGGCAAGCCAACCGAUGUGCCCAACCCGGCGCAUCUCAUCGCACUGGCGCAAGACUCUCAGGUGCUGAGCUUCAUCUUCAACUCGACGAUGAUCCAGGUUGCCCACUGCAGCAAGGCCGCGGCGGCAUGGACCGCCAUCAGGGAGAUGUUUCUCUCCCAGACGCAGGCCAACAUCGUCAACACGCGGAUCGCCCUCUCCAACACCAAAAAGGGCACCACGACCAUCGCCGACUACAUCGGGCGCAUGAAGGCGCUGGGCGACGAGAUGGCUUCUGCAGGAAAGCCGCUCGACGAUGAUGACAUAGUCUCCUACAUCCUUGUUGGACUAGACUACGACUACAUCUCGUUUGUCUCUUCCAUCUGUGCUGUGGCAAUCACUCCUCCCAGUCCUCGGCCAACGCCGUCUCCCGUGGCCGUGGUUUCGGCCGAGGUGGAGGUGGUCGCGGCAAUGGUGGUCGCGGCAACGAAGGUGGUGGACGCGGCAACAGAGGUCGUGGCAAUGGAGGCGGUGGCCGCGGCAGCGGCAACGGCAACGGAGGAGCUGAUGAUCUUCCUAAAGUCACCUGCCAGAUCUGCAAGAGGCAAAACCACACCGCCCUCGAAUGCUAUCGCCGCUUCGACAUCCCCUUCACCAAGAAUGACAAGAGCGCAGGGUCGGCCACCACUUCUUCCUAUGGAGUGGACACAAAUUGGUACCUUGAUACAGGGGCUACCGAUCACAUCACCAGCGAGCUCGAUAAGCUGA